CCUACGGGAGGCAGCAGUGGGGAAUAUUGCACAAUGGGGGGAACCCUGAUGCAGCGAUGCCGCGUGGAGGCAGAAGGUUUUCGGAUUGUAAAAUCCUUUUAUCAGGGAAGAUAAUGACGGUACCUGAAGAAAAAGCUCAGGCUAACUACGUGCCAGCAGCCGUGGUAAUACGUAGGGCGCGAGCGUUGUUCGGAAUUACUGGGUGUAAUGGGAGCGUAGGCGGGACGGCAAGUAAGAUGUGAAAACUGAGGGCCCAACCUUCAGACUGCAUUUGAAACUGCUGUUCUUGAGUGAAGUAGAGGUAAGCGGAAUUCGUAGUGUAGCGGUGAAAUGCGUAGAUAUUAGGAGGAACAUCGGUGGCGAAGGCGGCUUACUGGGCUUUAACUGACGCUGAGGCUCGAAAGCGUGGGGAGCAAACAGGAUUAGAUACCCGGGUAGUC
rnacentral:rRNA from 1 species